rnacentral:rRNA from 1 species
GACAGAGGGUGCAAACGUUGUUCGGAAUUACUGGGCGUAAAGCGCGUGUAGGCGGCUCGGCAAGUCGGGUGUGAAAGCCCUGGGCUUAACCUAGGAAGUGCACUCGAAACUGCCAAGCUUGAGUUCUGGAGAGGAAGGCGGAAUUCUCGGUGUAGAGGUGAAAUUCGUAGAUAUCGAGAGGAACACCGGUGGCGAAGGCGGCCUUCUGGACAGCAACUGACGCUGAGACGCGAAAGCGUGGGGAGCAAAC